UACGGAGGGUGCAAGCGUUAAUCGGAAUUACUGGGCGUAAAGCGCGCGUAGGUGGUUCAGUCAGUCAGAUGUGAAAGCCCCGGGCUCAACCUGGGAACUGCACCUGAUACUGCUGAACUAGAGUACGGUAGAGGGCAGUGGAAUUUCCUGUGUAGCGGUGAAAUGCGUAGAUAUAGGAAGGAACACCAGUGGCGAAGGCGACUGCCUGGACUGAUACUGACACUGAGGUGCGAAAGCGUGGGGAGCAAACAGG
rnacentral:rRNA from 1 species